rnacentral:rRNA from 1 species
GGUUAAGCGACUAAGCGUACACGGUGGAUGCCCUGGCAGUCAGAGGCGAUGAAGGACGUGCUAAUCUGCGAUAAGCGUCGGUGAGGUGAUAUGAACCGUUAUAACCGGCGAUUUCCGAAUGGGGAAACCCAGUGUGUUUCGACACACUAUCAUUAACUGAAUCCAUAGGUUAAUGAGGCGAACCGGGGGAACUGAAACAUCUAAGUACCCCGAGGAAAAGAAAUCAACCGAGAUUCCCCCAGUAGCGGCGAGCGAACGGGGAGGAGCCCAGAGCCUGAAUCAGUGUGUGUGUUAGUGGAAGCGUCUGGAAAGGCGCGCGAUACAGGGUGACAGCCCCGUACACAAAAAUGCACAUAUUGUGAGCUCGAUGAGUAGGGCGGGACACGUGGUAUCCUGUCUGAAUAUGGGGGGACCAUCCUCCAAGGCUAAAUACUCCUGACUGACCGAUAGUGAACCAGUACCGUGAGGGAAAGGCGAAAAGAACCCCGGCGAGGGGAGUGAAAAAGAACCUGAAACCGUGUACGUACAAGCAGUGGGAGCCUCUUUAUGGGGUGACUGCGUACCUUUUGUAUAAUGGGUCAGCGACUUAUAUUCUGUAGCAAGGUUAACCGAAUAGGGGAGCCGAAGGGAAACCGAGUCUUAACUGGGCGUUAAGUUGCAGGGUAUAGACCCGAAACCCGGUGAUCUAGCCAUGGGCAGGUUGAAGGUUGGGUAACACUAACUGGAGGACCGAACCGACUAAUGUUGAAAAAUUAGCGGAUGACUUGUGGCUGGGGGUGAAAGGCCAAUCAAACCGGGAGAUAGCUGGUUCUCCCCGAAAGCUAUUUAGGUAGCGCCUCGUGAAUUCAUCUCCGGGGGUAGAGCACUGUUUCGGCAAGGGGGUCAUCCCGACUUACCAACCCGAUGCAAACUGCGAAUACCGGAGAAUGUUAUCACGGGAGACACACGGCGGGUGCUAACGUCCGUCGUGAAGAGGGAAACAACCCAGACCGCCAGCUAAGGUCCCAAAGUCAUGGUUAAGUGGGAAACGAUGUGGGAAGGCCCAGACAGCCAGGAUGUUGGCUUAGAAGCAGCCAUCAUUUAAAGAAAGCGUAAUAGCUCACUGGUCGAGUCGGCCUGCGCGGAAGAUGUAACGGGGCUAAACCAUGCACCGAAGCUGCGGCAGCGACACUAUGUGUUGUUGGGUAGGGGAGCGUUCUGUAAGCCUGUGAAGGUGGCCUGUGAGGGUUGCUGGAGGUAUCAGAAGUGCGAAUGCUGACAUAAGUAACGAUAAAGCGGGUGAAAAGCCCGCUCGCCGGAAGACCAAGGGUUCCUGUCCAACGUUAAUCGGGGCAGGGUGAGUCGACCCCUAAGGCGAGGCCGAAAGGCGUAGUCGAUGGGAAACAGGUUAAUAUUCCUGUACUUGGUGUUACUGCGAAGGGGGGACGGAGAAGGCUAUGUUGGCCGGGCGACGGUUGUCCCGGUUUAAGCGUGUAGGCUGGUUUUCCAGGCAAAUCCGGAAAACCAAGGCUGAGGCGUGAUGACGAGGCACUACGGUGCUGAAGCGACAAAUGCCCUGCUUCCAGGAAAAGCCUCUAAGCAUCAGGUAACAUCAAAUCGUACCCCAAACCGACACAGGUGGUCAGGUAGAGAAUACCAAGGCGCUUGAGAGAACUCGGGUGAAGGAACUAGGCAAAAUGGUGCCGUAACUUCGGGAGAAGGCACGCUGAUAUGUAGGUGAAGCGACUUGCUCGUGGAGCUGAAAUCAGUCGAAGAUACCAGCUGGCUGCAACUGUUUAUUAAAAACACAGCACUGUGCAAACACGAAAGUGGACGUAUACGGUGUGACGCCUGCCCGGUGCCGGAAGGUUAAUUGAUGGGGUUAGCGGUAACGCGAAGCUCUUGAUCGAAGCCCCGGUAAACGGCGGCCGUAACUAUAACGGUCCUAAGGUAGCGAAAUUCCUUGUCGGGUAAGUUCCGACCUGCACGAAUGGCGUAAUGAUGGCCAGGCUGUCUCCACCCGAGACUCAGUGAAAUUGAACUCGCUGUGAAGAUGCAGUGUACCCGCGGCAAGACGGAAAGACCCCGUGAACCUUUACUAUAGCUUGACACUGAACAUUGAGCCUUGAUGUGUAGGAUAGGUGGGAGGCUUUGAAGUGUGGACGCCAGUCUGCAUGGAGCCGACCUUGAAAUACCACCCUUUAAUGUUUGAUGUUCUAACGUUGGCCCGUAAUCCGGGUUGCGGACAGUGUCUGGUGGGUAGUUUGACUGGGGCGGUCUCCUCCUAAAGAGUAACGGAGGAGCACGAAGGUUGGCUAAUCCUGGUCGGACAUCAGGAGGUUAGUG